rnacentral:lncRNA from 1 species
CAUCAACAUGGCACAUGUAUACAUACGUAACAAACUUUCACGUUAUGAACAUGUACUCUAGAACUUAAAGUAUAAUAAAAAAUAAAAGUAAGUAAAUUAAUUAAUUAAUUAAUUAAUUAAAAUAAUUUCUCUCUCUCUCUGGUGAUUUUCCAACUUCUAUUGUAAGAAAAAUUUCUAGUACAAAUUUCGGGACUCUGUUUCUUUCUUUAGGUACCCAGUCUCAACAAACAGAAAUACAUAAUUUUUGCCCAAAGCCCCACUGGGGGUUGGGGGAUUAUCUGGAAUUUUAGGAUCCCUCUUCAGACUAGCUGGCCUGAAAAGUCUAUUCCUGAAGCUAGGAUAUGGGUAGCCUCAGAAUUUUUUUCCUUCCUAUUCAUAUGAUGAGAAGUUAGGACAAAAGAUAUCAUUCUUCCAACCCUAGAGAUCUCUUCCCUCCUUCAGGGUAUGGCCAUCCACUCCGUUUUUGAGGCAUAACAUCUUUAUAGGACGGGAUAAGGUCCCAAUACUGACAGAAGAAAAUGCUUAGAACUCUAACAGGUUUUUAAGAAUGCUUCAGUAAGGGCCACUAAACCUGAUUUUUCUUGGUCCUCUUUGUGUUCUAAGAGAAAAAGCAAAAGUGCAGGUUUUUGAAUAUGUGUCAGUAAGAGCCACUAAAUCUGACCUUGCUCGGUCCUCUUUGUGUUCUAGGAGGAAAACUAGUGUUUCUGCUGCUGUUACGGUGAGCACAACUAUACCGAUCGGCAGGAUGCAGGAACCAUUGCGGGUUCUUGGGCAAGAGGGGGAUCUGCUGCUGCAUCGUUAAGGUGGCAGGAGUGAAGUCUUGGAUUCACCACACCCCACUUAAACUUUGGACACCUGCUAAGGAACCUGCUGGACAAACAGCUCAGGAAUCCAAGGAUCAGCAAGAGUAGGCUAGAUACACCUGUGAGCCAUUGGAGGACUUACAUCUUCUUUUCUGGAAGGAAACAUCCCAGACUAAGAAGACUCUUACAGCUGAUCCUGAGGAAAAAUCCCUUCCUACUUAAAAAGAUGAAGGCCAUCAAGCUACAGAUGCUCUUACAAAUGGAACCUCAAAUGAACUCAACUAACAACUUCUAUUGAGGACCCCUGGACAGAGCCACUGGCCCUUUGACUGGCCUAAAGAGUUCCCCUCUGAAGGACACUAAAACUCCAGGACCCCUUCUUCACCCCUAUCCAACAGGAAGUAGAUAGAGCCAUCAUCACCCAAUUCCCAACAGCAUUUGGUGUGUCCUGUUUAGAGGGGGUAUUGAGAGGUGAAGUCAGCUGGACUUCUGGGUUGGGUGGUGACUUGGAGAAAUUUUCUGUCUUACAAGAGGUUUGCAAAAUGCACUAAUUAUCACCCUGUAGCUAGGAAUGCAAAAUCCACCAAUCAGUGCUCUGUAGCUAGCUAGAGAUUUGUAAAAUGCACCAAUCAGUGCUCUGUAGCUAGCUAGAGGUUUAUAAAAUAGACCAAUGAGCAGCCUGUUAAAUGGACCAAUCAGCAGGACAUGGUUGGGGACAAAUAAGGGAAUAAAGGCUGGCUACCCCACUCAGCAGCGGCAACCCACUCAGGCCCCCUUCCUUGCUAUGGAAACUUUGUUCUUUUGCUCUUCAGAAUAAAACUUGCUGCUGCUCACCCUUUGGUUCUAUGUUAUCUUUAAGAGCUGUUACACUCACCAUGAAGUUCUGCUACUCCAUUCUUGAAGUCAACAAGACCACAAACCCACCAGAAGGAAUGAACUCCAGACACAAAGAGGAGGAGAAAAGGAAUAAAAAAUUAGAAAGAGAAGGAGAAGGAGGAGAAAGAAAAGAAAAAAACCCAAGCAGAAGGAGGAGGAAGAGAAGGAGAAAAAGAAUGAAAACAUGGAGGUAGGGGGAAUAAGAGGAGGAGGGAAGAAGGAGGAGCUAAAGAAGAAAGGAAGAGAAGCAAGGAAUGAUAGUCACAUACUGAGAACCCUUUUGCAUUAUCUACACAGAUUUCAUGUUCGGUUACUUGAUGAAUUCAAGGCUCUAAGGUAGCAAAAAUAUAAGUCAACAAUAUAAAGUGUACUCCUGGACUCAUCUGAGUUUCACAGGCUGUUGUAGGUUAGAGUCUUCUCUGCAGGGCAUGAGGUUUUAUAUAUUUCCUCUUUUUUUUUUUUUUUUUUUUUUUUUUAAAGAGAAGGAGGAAGAGUAGGAGGAAGAAAAGUAGGGAGGUCUUGCUGGCUGAGAGUUGUCUGACAUGAUCCGGAAGUCACUGCUUCACCAUGGGGAGAUUGUUCUGGGUCAUUGUUUACCUGAUGCAAUCUUUGAUGGCUGUCUAUGGAGGUACCUUCAAGUUCUGGUAAAAUGACCCAACGGUCAGGUCAGGAGGACUCUGGACUGAGACUUGUA